UAACUGUGCUGUAAUCCCAAAAAACCGUUGGUCUAAAGACUAAUGACCACGAGACCCGCAAGAUCCGUAUUUUCUUAUCAUUUAAGACGAUUCGGGUGGCCAAAUAGAAUCGAAUUUCUAAAGGUGGAUAAAAUUUUCUUACGUCUAGAGAGAGAGAGAGAUAGAAGUUCAAAAAAAAAAGAGAGAGAGAGAGAGAGAUGGGUGUAGUAGAGGAAGCUCACAACGUGAAGGUGAUUGGCUCAGGAAAUAAAGGGACGGUCGUAUUAGGUCACGGGUUCGGUACGGACCAGUCAGUGUGGAGACACCUGGUUCCACAUCUGGUCGACGAGUACCGCAUCGUGCUCUACGACAACAUGGGAGCCGGUACGACCAAUCCGGAAUAUUUCGACUUUGAUCGUUACUCAACUCUCGAAGGUUUCGCCUUUGAUUUGAUUGCAAUCUUAGAAGAACUUAAUAUCGAGUCUUGUAUCUUUGUUGGUCACUCUCUUUCCGCCAUGGUUGGUGUCUUGGCUUCUCUUCACCGACCUGAACUCUUCUCCAAAAUCGUCAUGGUUUCUGCUUCCCCAAGAUUCGUGAACGAUGAUGAUUACGAAGGUGGAUUCGACCAAGAAGAUAUAAAGCAGCUUUUUGAAGCGAUGCAAAGCAACUACAAAGCGUGGUGCUUAGGUUUCGCUCCACUGGUGGUAGGUGGAGACUUAGACUCAGCAGCGGUUCAAGAAUUCAGCAGGACGCUCUUCAACAUGCGUCCAGACAUAGCUCUCUCCAUGGCUCAGACCAUUUUCAGUAGCGACAUGAGACAAAUCUUACCUUUUGUCUCUGUCCCUUGUCACAUCGUCCAAAGCUCUAAAGAUUUAGCCGUACCGGUCUCCGUAGCCGAGUAUCUUCACACCAAUCUCGGGUCUGAAUCCGUAGUCGAGGUUAUGUCUACAGAGGGUCAUCUUCCUCAGCUUAGCUCCCCGGCCACUGUUACUCCCGUUCUCCUCCGUCACAUCCGCAACGACAUUGCUGUCUGAUGAUGAUGAGAAGAACAUGUUAAUUAUGUUUCGCGAAAUUAAAUGUAUGAUGUGAUAUGUCUGGUUUGUUGUUGUUCUUAUCUGUGUUAGGGAAAAUUAAGUCUUGGCCUCUUGUGUCCAGCUUUGCUCGACCUCAUUAUUUCUGUUGCUACUCAUAUAAAUGUAGCAAUAGCGAUGUUCGUGAUUGGUGGUCUACAGUCAAUUAUUUGAAGAUAUUCUGAGAAAUAAUUUGCAUGAAAAAUGAGUGUAUCAAAGAUUAAAAAAUGUUUUUAAUAAAGAUGGUGAUUU